ensembl:misc_RNA Y_RNA Y RNA
GUCUGGCUCAAAGGUAGUGAGUUUUACCAACUGAUUGUCCACAGUCAGUCACAGACCAAAUUCCUUGUUUUACUCUUUCACCCCUCCGCACUAAUGCACUUGACUAGUCAUUA